CAAGCUGCAAAUUAACCAUUAAGGAAUCUCAAGUCGCUUUGCAUGAACAGGCAAAGAAGUGGCAGAAAAGAAAUGCCUGUGGAUGUCAUGGUAGUCUAGUGGUCAGUGCAACUCUAUUACAGCUCAUGGCGUGGGAGUUCGGAGUCCAAUUCUAGCAUCAUCUGCACGUUCAAAAAUCCAAUACCAUAACAGCAUCAAUGUAAGAUCACAACCAAAAGGGCAGACAACCAGAGUGUGAAAGACAACAAAGAGAGCAAGUACUUUUGAACUAACUUACAACAGAGAAAGGCCGGAAAUUUCUUCAGAAGAUAGAGCAAAGGUAAUAUUUUGGAGCAUCAACAUAUGUUCAGGUUAUGUUUCUUUAGAGCCUAAAAGUUCCGUCAAAA